GAAAUGCGAUAAUUAAUGUGAAUUGCAGAAUUCAGUGAAUCAUCGAGUCUUUGAACGCACAUUGCGCCCCCUGGUAUUCCGGGGGGCAUGCCUGUCCGAGCGUCAUUUCUGCCCUCAAGCACGGCUUGUGUGUUGGGCUUCCGUCCCUGGCAACGGGGACGGGCCCAAAAGGCAGUGGCGGCACCAUGUCUGGUCCUCGAGCGUAUGGGGCUUUGUCACCCGCUCCCGUAGGUCCAGCUGGCAGCUAGCCUCGCAACCAAUCUUUUUAACCAGGUUGACCUCGGAUCAGGUAGGGAUACCCGCUGAACUUAAGC
rnacentral:misc_RNA from 1 species